GAAUUGACGGGGGCCCGCACAAGCGGAGGAACAUGUGGUUUAAUUCGAUGACACGCGAGGAACCUUACCCGGGCUUGAAUUGCUGAGGAAAGAUCCAGAGAUGGUGAUGCCCUUCGGGGCCUCAGUGAAGGUGCUGCAUGGUUGUCGUCAGCUCGUGCCGUGAGGUGUCGGCUUAAGUGCCAUAACGAGCGCGACCCCUCUCUUCAGUUGCCAUCAGGUUAAGCUGGGCACUCUGGAGACACUGCCACCGUAAGGUGUGAGGAAGGUGGGGAUGACGUCAAAUCAGCACGGCCCUUACGUCCGGGGCUACACACGUGUUACAAUGGCCGGUACAGAGAGUUGGACACCCGCAAGGUUGUUCUAAUCACUAAAUCCGGUCUCAGUUCGGACUGGGGUCUGCAACCCGACCCCACGAAGCUGGAUUCGCUAGUAAUCGCGCAUCAGCCAUGGCGCGGUGAAUACGUUCCCGGGCCUUGUACACACCG
rnacentral:rRNA from 1 species